UCUUCCCACCCUGAGGAAGAAUCUGAGUUUAAAUGAAUCACUUGUUAACUUCCCUAAGUGGCCAACACCUAGGUAACUGCUUCCAGUGCCAUGGUAGGGGCAAGCAAAGCAGGCUGCAAGAAACUAGGACAUGGAAAGCAGGCUUAAAGGAGAGACACGCCAUUGCUCCAGCAGCAGAAGCCUUGGGAAGAACAGCAACAAAAUCAGUUUAGAGUUUUUCCUUAGGUUGCAGUCAUGGGGCAGACUUCACUACCUAUUUUUACUUUGGACCGGAAAUCCUGGCUUUUUUACUUCUUUUUGUCAUCAGCACAAUGGGAAAUUAGCUCCUGAAGUCUUACUAAGUCUUUACUGGCAGUCUUUAAAGGCCUCGGAUCUCACAAGACACUUCAUUCAUCUGGCGACCCCCAGGCUACAAGAGCACCAGGGUGCUCUCCCUCCCACCCCCUCCCCUGCACUCCCUUCCUCAAAGCAGAGAUAAGAGCACAGCUAUUUUAAAAGCAGGAAAGGAAAUAAAAGCACCCACUUCAGAUCAUAUGCCGCUGUCAUUCCAUAAUUAACUUCACCUACAUUUUCAAAGGAAAAACAAAAAUGCAAAAAUAAUUCAAAAAUAAUUUCAAACCACUCUUUCCCCAACAUGUUAGUCAUCUCAUUCUUGAUACUGAUAUCAAUAAAACGAAGUGGAGACUUC